rnacentral:rRNA from 1 species
UGCGUAGGCGGCCGCUUAAGUAGGGUGUGAAAUGUCCCGGCUCAACCGGGGAAUGGCGCUCUAAACUGGGUGGCUCGAGUGAGAUAGAGGUGUGCGGAACUUCCGGUGGAGCGGUGAAAUGUGUUGAUAUCGGAGGGAACACCAUUGGCGAAAACGGCACACUGGGUCUUAACUGACGCUGAGGCACGAAAGCCAGGGGAGCAAACG